AUUGAACGCUGGCGGCAGGCCUAACACAUGCAAGUCGAGCGGAUGAAGGUAGCUUGCUACCUGAUUCAGCGGCGGACGGGUGAGUAAUGCCUAGGAAUCUGCCUGGUAGUGGGGGGCAACGUUUCGAAAGGAACGCUAAUACCGCAUACGUCCUACGGGAGAAAGUGGGGGAUCUUCGGACCUCACGCUAUCAGAUGAGCCUAGGUACGAUUAGCUAGUUGGUGAGGUAAAGGCUCACCAAGGCGACGAUCGUUAACUGGUCUGAGAGGAUGAUCAGUCAAACUGGAACUGAGACACGGUCCAGACUCCUACGGGAGGCAGCAGUGGGGAAUAUUGGACAAUGGGCGAAAGCCUGAUCCAGCCAUGCCGCGUGUGUGAAGAAGGUCUUCGGAUUGUAAAGCACUUUAAGUUGGGAGGAAGGGCAGUAAGUUAAUACCUUGCUGUUUUGACGUUACCGACAGAAUAAGCACCGGCUAACUUCGUGCCAGCCGCCGCGGUAAUAC
rnacentral:rRNA from 1 species